GGCCUCCCAAUUCUUACCACAGGCUGUAUUCUUUAUACUGACUUAUAGAAAGAGGAGGUACAGUAAAUGCACCCCACACACACCUCAAUCCAGGCCCUUUGCCUUAUCUGUAUUGUGAAUUGGAAGACAAAA